GUUUGAUUCUGGCUCAGGAUGAACGCUGGCGGCAUGCCUAACACAUGCAAGUCGAACGGAGUUAUUAUUCAGAAGUUCUUCGGGAUGGAAGGAUAAGAACUUAGUGGCGGACGGGUGAGUAACGCGUGGGUAACCUGCCCUUUUGUGGGGAACAACUUCGAGAAAUCGGAGCUAAUACCGCAUAAUAAUAGAGGAUCGCAUGAUUCUUUAAGGAAAGAUGGCCUCUGAAGAUGCUAUCGCAAAAGGAUGGACCCGCGUCUGAUUAGCUAGUUGGGAGGGUAACGGCCUACCAAGGCAACGAUCAGUAGCCGGCCUGAGAGGGUGAACGGCCACAUUGGGACUGAGACACGGCCCAAACUCCUACGGGAGGCAGCAGUGGGGAAUCUUCCGCAAUGGGCGAAAGCCUGACGGAGCAAUGCCGCGUGAGUGAAGAAGGCCUUCGGGUUGUAAAACUCUGUCCUUAUCGAAGAGAGGUAGGUAUGUGAAUAAUGUACCUAUAGGACGGUAGAUAAGGAGGAAGCCCCGGCUAACUACGUGCCAGCAGCCGCGGUAAUACGUAGGGGGCGAGCGUUGCCCGGAAUCACUGGGCGUAAAGGGCGCGUAGGCGGUUUAAUAAGUCAGUGGUGAAAACUGAGGGCUCAACCCUCAGCCUGCCACUGAUACUGUUAGACUUGAGUAUGGAAGAGGAGAAUGGAAUUCCUAGUGUAGCGGUGAAAUGCGUAGAUAUUAGGAGGAACACCAGUGGCGAAGGCGAUUCUCUGGGCCAAGACUGACGCUGAGGCGCGAAAGCGUGGGGAGCAAACAGGAUUAGAUACCCUGGUAGUCCACGCCGUAAACGAUGGAUACUAGGUGUUAGUAGUUUCGAUGCUACUAGUGCCGGAGUAAACACAAUAAGUAUCCCGCCUGGGGAGUACGGUCGCAAGACUGAAACUCAAAGGAAUUGACGGGGGCCCGCACAAGCGGUGGAGCAUGUGGUUUAAUUCGACGCAACGCGAAGAACCUUACCAAGACUUGACAUCCUCCUGACAAGAUAUGUAAUGUAUCUCUUUUCUUCGGAGACAGGAGAGACAGGUGGUGCAUGGUUGUCGUCAGCUCGUGUCGUGAGAUGUUGGGUUAAGUCCCGCAACGAGCGCAACCCUUAUUUCUAGUUGCCAGCAGUAAGAUGGGGACUCUAGAGAGACUGCCAGUGACAAACUGGAGGAAGGUGGGGAUGACGUCAAAUCAUCAUGCCCCUUAUGUCUUGGGCUACACACGUGCUACAAUGGUCAGAACAGAGGGAAGCGAAGCCGCGAGGUGGAGCAAAUCCCAGAAAACUGAUCUCAGUUCGGAUUGCAGGCUGCAACCCGCCUGCAUGAAGUCGGAAUCGCUAGUAAUCGCGGGUCAGCAUACCGCGGUGAAUACGUUCCCGGGCCUUGUACACACCGCCCGUCACACCACGAAAGUUAGUAACACCCGAAGCCGGUGGCCUAACCCGCAAGGGAGGGAGCUGUCGAAGGUGGGACUGAUGAUUGGGGUGAAGUCGUAACAAGGUA
rnacentral:rRNA from 1 species